UCCCUCGUGGCGCAAUUGGCUAGCGCGUUCGACUGUUAUAUAAGUAAUAUGCUUGCAAUCGAGAGGUUGGUGGUUCAAGCCCACCCGAGGGAG
rfam:Pseudogymnoascus pannorum VKM F-4515 (FW-2607) contig_2434, whole genome shotgun sequence.